AAAGUUACAAGAAGUCAAGGAGAAAGUACUGACAAAGCAGAAGCUCAAUUGCAUGUAUAUGGACAGUUGCAGUGUGAACGAAGCAAUACAAAUCUUGUUCAAAUUGAAGCUCAUGAAACAGAUCACUGGUGGCAGAAAAGUUUUAUUUGAAAUUUUCGGACCUUAACUGUAUUGUUCAAGGGUUCAUGUUACAAGAUACCAUUAUAAAUGCUGCUCAAAGCAUCUUGAAGAAGCAAUUUCCUUUCAAAGGAGAAUUUCAGAGUAAUUUAAAUAAUC